rnacentral:rRNA from 1 species
CACCGCGGUGAUACGGAGGGCUCAAGUUGAUCGCCGUCGGCGUAAGGUGUGGUUAGAGUAAAAACUAGAGUAAAACUAAAAGAAAACGGAGCAGUGUAACGCCAACCACCGUAUGUCGGAGAACCAGAAACGAAAGUAGUUUUAUACAUCUUGAUUCCACGAAGGCUAAGAAA